rnacentral:rRNA from 1 species
UACAGAGGGUGCAAGCGUUGUUCGGAAUUAUUGGGCGUAAAGGGCGCGUAGGCGGCCUUUCAAGUGACGGGUGAAAUCCCUCGGCUUAACCGAGGAACUGCCUGUCAGACUGGAAGGCUUGAGACCGGGAGAGGUGAGUGGAAUUCCCAGUGUAGCGGUGAAAUGCGUAGAUAUUGGGAGGAACACCAGUGGCGAAGGCGGCUCACUGGACCGGUACUGACGCUGAGGCGCGAAAGCGUGGGGAGCAAACAGG